CAUGCUGUCUUUCCACAUGAAGAUGUCCUUCGGUCCAGAUCCCCGCUGUGAACGCACGAACCACGCAAAUCAUCUGCGCGUCUCGCGCUGCAGUUCCGCCGUUUAACAGACUGCGAGGAAACCGCGCGGCAUUGUGGUAAUUAUAUCAUCAAGGACACCGAAGGCUCUGUGCUGAACUCCUCAAGCUGUGCAGAGAAAACUGAUUAAGGAAACUUCGCUUUCACUCCCUUAAUACUCCAAAGACAGAUGCCGACGAUGAUCCAACCGAGGAUCUCAGGUGUUUGUCUGGCACACCUCGUCCUGAGACAGUUCCCUGCUGGACAAGAUGGGCGGAAAGUGAAUUGAUGGAUACAGCUAUUAUGCAAAACUACUCAAGAACGUGUGAAGCAAACGUGAGACAGCUCUGGAUUUAAAUCCUCUCAAGGUGCUAAAUAUUUCUUCUCCACGCAUCAUUUAGCCAAGCCGAGGAGGAAGUCGAACGUUCACACUUCAGCCGACGUUGAACUACAGCUCUAUUGUGAUUCAAAUCGCCGCCUGGGGAACGUGAAGACUUAGAGCUUUUUUCACGGUUGAAAAGGAAAACAGAAAAAUGACCGUGUGAUCCAAAUGACCUUAAGGAUGAGACAGUUAAACUUGGUUCAACUCUUCAACUCAGGAAAACAGUACAGCAUGUCAUAACAUGAAAAUUCAUCUUAGAUCUGCCUUAUCAAUGAACUUUUCUGAAGAUUUCUUCUUUUUUAGGUCACAGUGUAAAGCUACACAACACAGAAACAUUUCUUAAUUUUAUAUGAUUUAGUUAAACCAUUUUUAGCUUUGAUGCACAUGAUGCACAGAGACAUGCUAGCACGCAGUGCUCCUACGCGAUAGCUACACAUUGUGAGUAUCUUCAGUGCUAUUUGGGGCAGUCGUGGCCUAAUGGAUAGAGAGUCGGACUUGUAACCCGAAGGUGAACCUGAAGGUUGUGGGUUCGAGUCUCGGGUCCGGCAGGGAUUGUAGGUGGGGGGAGUGAAUGCUCUCUCAGCCACCCUCAAUACCACUACUGAGGUGAGACCCUUGAGCAAGGCACCGAACCCCCAACUACUCCCCGGGCGCCACAGCAAAAAAGGCUGCCCACUGCUGGUGUGUGUUCACGGUGUGUGUGUGUGUGUUCACUACUGUGUGUGUGCACUUGAAUGGGUUAAACGCAGAGCACAAAUUCUGAGUAUGGGUCACCAUACUUGGCCACAAGUCACUUCACUUCACUUCACUAUUCAUGGGAACGCUGAUCGGUUGGC